rnacentral:rRNA from 1 species
AUUGAACGCUGGCGGCAUGCCUUACACAUGCAAGUCGAACGGCAGCACGGGUGCUUGCACCUGGUGGCGAGUGGCGAACGGGUGAGUAAUACAUCGGAACAUGUCCUGUAGUGGGGGAUAGCCCGGCGAAAGCCGGAUUAAUACCGCAUACGAUCCACGGAUGAAAGCGGGGGACCUUCGGGCCUCGCGCUAUAGGGUUGGCCGAUGGCUGAUUAGCUAGUUGGUGGGGUAAAGGCCUACCAAGGCGACGAUCAGUAGCUGGUCUGAGAGGACGACCAGCAACAUUGGAACGGAGACACGGCCCAGACCCCAACGGGAGGCAGCAUUGGGGAAUUUUGGACAUGGGCGAAAGCCUGAUCCAGCAAUGCCGCGUGUGUGAAGAAGGCCUUCGGGUUGUAAAGCACUUUUGUCCGGAAAGAAAUCCUUGACUCUAAUACAGUCGGGGGAUGACGGUACCGGAAGAAUAAGCACCGGCUAACUACGUG